GGAGGAUGAAGGUCUUAGGAUUGUAAACUCCUUUUAUCAGGGAAGAGAAAGGACGGUACCUGAUGAAUAAGGAUCGGCUAACUACGUGCCAGCAGCCGCGGUAAUACGUAGGAUCCGAGCGUUGUCCGAAUUUACUGGGCGUAAAGAGCGCGUAGGCGGUUUGUUAAGUCUCAUGUGUAAUCUCCCGGCUCAACUGGGAGGGGUCAUGGGAUACUGGCAGACUUGAGGAUAGCAGAGGAAAGCGGAAUUCCCGGAGUAGUGGUGAAAUGCGUAGAUACCGGGAGGAACACCAGAGGCGAAGGCGGCUUUCUGGGCUAUUUCUGACGCUGAGGCGCGAAAGCGUGGGGAGCGAACCGGAUUAGAUACCCGGGUAGUCCACGCCCUAAACGAUGGAUACUAGAUGUUGGGGGUAUAGACCCCCCCAGUGUCGAAGCUAACGCGAUAAGUAUCCCGCCUGGGGAGUACGGCCGCAAGGCUAAAACUCAAAGGAAUUGACGGGGACCCGCACAAGCAGCGGAGCGUGUGGUUUAAUUCGAUGCAAAGCGAAGAACCUUACCCAGGCUUGACAUGUUUCUGAAAGCCCCCGAAACGGGGCCCUCCUUCGGGACAGAUUCACAGAUGUUGCAUGGCUGUCGUCAGCUCGUGUCGUGAGAUGUUGGGUUAAGUCCCGCAACGAGCGCAACCCCUGUCGUUAGUUAUUAUGUCUAGCGAGACUGCCCCCACUGGGGGAGGAAGGUGGGGACGAGGUCAAGUCGUCAUGGCUCUUACGCCUGGGGCUACACACACGCUACAAUGGUCGGAAACAAUGGGCUGCCACACCGCGAGGUGGAGCGAAUCCUCAAAGCCGAUCUCAGUUGGAAUUGCAGGCUGCAACUCGCCUGCAUGAACGUGGAGUUGCUAGUAACCGUAGGUCAGCACACUACGGUGAAUACGUUCUCGGGUCUUGUACACACCGCCCGUCAAGUCAUGGAAGUCGGUAACACUUGAAGUCGUUGGGCCAACCCUUUGGGAGGCAGACGCCGAGAGUGGGACUGGUGACUGGGACUAAGUCGUAACAAGGUAGCUGUAGCGGAAGCUGCGGCUG
rnacentral:rRNA from 1 species